rnacentral:rRNA from 1 species
UACGUAGGGGGCAAGCGUUGUCCGGAAUUACUGGGCGUAAAGAGUGUGUAGGCGGUGCUCCAAGUCUGAUGUGAAAUCUCCCGGCUUAACUGGGAGGGUGCAUUAGAAACUGGAAUGCUAGAGGAUGGGAGAGGUAAGCGGAAUUCCUGGUGUAGCGGUGGAAUGCGUAGAGAUCCGGAAGAACACCGGUGGCGAAGGCGGCCUGCUGGGCAGUGGCUGACACUGAAGCGCGACAGCGUGGGGAGCAAACAGG